rnacentral:rRNA from 1 species
CCUACGGGGGGCAGCAGUGGGGAAUCUUGCGCAAUGGGCGCAAUCCUGACGCAGCAACGCCGCGUGGGUGAUGAAGGUCUUCGGAUCGUAAAGCCCUGUCGGAGGGGAAGAUGCUUUCUGUCGCUAAUAUCGGCAGGAGGUGACGGUACCCUCAAAGGAAGCACCGGCUAACUCUGUGCCAGCAGCCGCGGUAAUACAGAGGGUGCGAGCGUUGUUCGGAAUUAUUGGGCGUAAAGGGAGUGUAGGCGGUUUGGAAAGUCUUCUGUGAAAUCUACGGGCUUAGCCUGUAACGUGCAGAGGAAACUUCCAGGCUUGAGUGUCGGAGAGGAUAGGGGAAUACCCAGUGUAGAGGUGAAAUUCGUAGAGAUUGGGUGGAACACCAGUGGCGAAGGCGCCUAUCUGGCUGACAACUGACGCUGAGACUCGAAAGCGUGGGGAGCAAACAGGAUUAGAUACCCCUGUAGUC